CAAAAAUGAGGAAGAUUAGUUCCGCCCGGACCAUAUAUCGCAAACACCGCCACUUCCGGGAAAGCCGGCGAACACAAAUCGGCGUGUUAUUGGGAACGGGUGUCUUGUUGAGCGUGGCGAUCACUGAUUGGGCAAUUUGGUGAAGAGGAGACACAUAAAUAGGGCAUCAGAAACACAGGAAGGGCCUGGUGAUUCCCAGUAGUUACUGUGGGCGCAAUGGAGCGGAGGAGAGAGUUGGAGAGAGAGUGUAUGAUGCAUUGUGUGAUGUGAAGUUAACACACAUUGAAGAUCUGCUAGGAUUGCAGGAAGGAGAUCGUGCUGCCAGUUGUGUCGGAUGUCGGUUAUCUGGAAGAGAAGUGGAGAGAUCCAGUGUUAAUGAAAGUGAUUGGUGGGUGAGCCGGAACCAGCGAAAAAGGAGUCUGGUGCCUUGUCGUGGCUGUGACGUUCCCUCUGGCCGUCUGCUGCAUCGGUGCCCCCAACGUCCAGGAACUAAUCCCCGGUCCUAUGUGGUUUUGACCCUAAUUCACUGUGAGUGUGUGGAGUGUAGUGGGCGAGUCCUUUUCUUUGCUGUGUGUAUACUUGAAGUCUGCAGUGUCGUGCUGUGUCAUGUUGUCAGUCAUCACCCUCUAGGCUGGGAGAGAAAACCCUGUGGAGAAGAACGUGCACCGGUGUUGUGAGACGACCGUCUUUUAUAUACAUGCCCGCUCGCGGCUUUGGACCCCUACUCCGCCGAGUGGCGACGUGCCAACAAUAGCAAGUAAGGAACAGUGUGCAUAUUGUGGGGGACGACGACUGAGAGAAGUGUGGGCUGCUAUAUGAACAUCCAGCUGUGUAGCCCUUGUGUAUGAAUACCUGUUUGGGGAGUACUUUCAGAGGUUCGCCCCUGUCUAGAUCUCUGGUCCGUUGUUUGGAAGAGAGGAGAGGGAAGCGUUCGAGUCAUUCCUGAGGUACAUACCCGGUGACACAAACCUACCUGAAGUCACUCAGCGUGGUGGCACCAGCUGAGGCCGUGGAAGGCCCAACGUGCAGCGACUUCAAUCUGUACUUCUAUCCACUCUUGGUCAAAUUCGAGAGGUGGUGUGUCUUUCUCCAUAUAUUCACUGAAGCUAAGUAAAUUUGUGAAGGAACUCUGUCUGUCUGUUACUAGUCCUACAGGUCUGAGCUUGAGGCUCUGAGUCGUCGUGGGAGUGUUUCCACGGUUGGAGGUGACCGUGUUGAGUGUUGGUCUGGGAAGUCUGCCCUGGUGAAG
ensembl:lncRNA